UUUACAAUGUUGGAUUGAAAAAGAGUGACAUGUCAGAUUGAUACAUAAUGUAUAUGCACAACUCUUUAUUGUUUGGGGGCGGGGUUUAAAGUGAAACAGCCUUUAAGAGAUACAUAUAUUUCACUGAGGGAGAAGUGCCGAUGACCUCCAAGUGGAAGUGUCCAGAUCCUCAUUUCUUGUAUGUGACACUGUUACAAAUAAUUCAUUUGUGCAGAUUAACAACGAGAGCCAUUGGUAUCGUCUGCUUUCAUUUUACAUUUAAAAAAUUUAAUUAAAAAAUGCUUUCCAUUCACUGUGUGAGCGACUACAUUCCACUGUUCUCCACUGUCGACAGAAAAACGUUCAAGAAUUAAGAUAUGGCGUAUCUCAGCAUGACAGAAGACCAGUUGCGCUGUUCCAUCUGCCUGGAUAUCUUCGUCCACCCUGUCUCCACUCCGUGUGGACACAACUUCUGCAAAUGUACGCCAUGUUUUAUGGAACUUUCCAUGGAUCCCAACUUCGUAUUAUGUCUCAUACAGUAAAUUGUAUAUAUUUUUUGUCUGCCACUGGUUUACACUGAUUUGUCCCCCAGGGAGGAAUAAAUACCCUAUCUAUCUAUCAAA